CCUACGGGAGGCAGCAGUGGGGGAUAUUGCACAAUGGGGGAAACCCUGAUGCAGCGACGCCGCGUGAGUGAAGAAGGAUCUCGGUAUGUAAAGCUCUAUCAGCAGGGAGGAAAAUGACAGUACCUGACCCAGAAGCACCGGCUAACUACGUGCCAGCAGCCGCGGUAAUACGUAGGGUGCAAGCGUUAUCCGGAUUUACCGGGGUUAAAGGGGGCGUAGUGGGUUUUAUAAGUCUGGAGUGAAAGCCCGGGGCUCAACCCCGGGACUGCUUUGGAAACUGUGGAACUGGAGAACAGGAGGGGCAGGCGGAAUGUCUGGUGUAGCGGUGAAAUGCGUAGAGAUCAGACGGAACACCGACUGCGAAGGCAGCCUGCUGGACUGAAACUGACGUUGAGGCUCGAAAGCGUGGGGAGCAAACAGGAUUAGAUACCCGUGUAGUC
rnacentral:rRNA from 1 species